rnacentral:lncRNA from 1 species
UUUUAUUUACGUCAAGUUGAUGUUAUUUAAAGGUUUCACCUUUUUCCCCUAUUCAUAUGCUAUUAUUUAUUUAUAUACACCAUAAAUUAGACAAAUAUAAUAGAAUAUUUUAAAAAACUAUAUAUAAAUUAUAUAUACAAAGAAGCUCAUCCGACAACACAAGGCGCUGAAUGUUGAAAGACGAACACUCAAAAAAGAUGUGAUGUAGUGUUUGAACCUUUUGCAAUUGACAAUAAUCACAAUAUGCUGAGCUGACCAUUUUGAGACGAUGAAGAACCAAGGUACAGUAUUAACUUGGACAUCGAGAGUAUUAAACCAUGAACCCACAUUUUCAUUGUGCACACAAUUAUAUGAAUGUCUCCCCCACGCUUCACACAUGCGUUGCCUUAAGAGACUAACUACAUCUGUGUAAG